UACGUAGGGUGCGAGCGUUAAUCGGAAUUACUGGGCGUAAAGCGUGCGCAGGCGGUUUUGUAAGCCAGGUGUGAAAUCCCCGGGCUCAACCUGGGAAUGGCGAUGGUGACUGCAAGGCUAGAGUUUGGCAGAGGGGGGUAGAAUUCCACGUGUAGCAGUGAAAUGCGUAGAUAUGUGGAGGAACACCGAUGGCGAAGGCAGCCCCCUGGGUCAAAACUGACGCUCAUGCACGAAAGCGUGGGGAGCAAACAGG
rnacentral:rRNA from 1 species